rnacentral:rRNA from 1 species
UAGUACGGCGAGUGAAGCGGCAAAAGCUCAAAUUUGAAAUCUGGCACCUUCGGUGUCCGAGUUGUAAUUUGAAGAAGGUAACUUUGGAGUCAGCUCUUGUCUAUGUUCCUUGGAACAGGACGUCACAGAGGGUGAGAAUCCCGUGCGAUGAGAUGUCUGAUUCUAUGUAAAGUGCUUUCGAAGAGUCGAGUUGUUUGGGAAUGCAGCUCUAAGUGGGUGGUAAAUUCCAUCUAAAGCUAAAUAUUGGCGAGAGACCGAUAGCGAACAAGUACAGUGAUGGAAAGAUGAAAAGAACUUUGAAAAGAGAGUGAAAAAGUACGUGAAAUUGUUGAAAGGGAAGGGUUUGAGAUCAGACUUGGUAUUUUGUAUGUCUUGCUUUCGGGUGGGGCCUCUACAGUUUACUGGGCCAGCAUCGGUUUGGACGGUAGGAUAAUGACAUUGGAAUGUGGCACCACUUCGGUGGUGUGUUAUAGACUUUGUUGAUACUGCCUGUCUAGACCGAGGACUGCGUCUUUGACUAGGAUGCUGGCAUAAUGAUCUUAAACCGCCCGUCUU